GUAGAUCAGAAGCGAGAAUGUUGACAUGAGUAGCGACAAAGAGGGUGAGAGACCCUCUCGCCGUAAGUCCAAGGGUUCCUGCUUAAAGCUAAUCUGAGCAGGGUAAGCCGGCCCCUAAGGCGAGGCCGAAAGGCGUAGUCGAUGGGAACCAGGUUAAUAUUCCUGGGCCAGGAGGAAGUGACGGAUCUCGAAGGUAGUUUGCCCUUAUCGGAUUGGGUGGGCUGCUCAGAGGUUCCAGGAAAUAGCCCUCCAUCAGACCGUACCCUAAACCGACACAGGUGGACUGGUAGAGUAUACCAAGGCGCUUGAGAGAACCACGUUAAAGGAACUCGGCAAAAUGCCUCCGUAAGUUCGCGAGAAGGAGGCCCCAUAUCUGGGCAACCAGGUGUGGGGGGCACAAACUAGGGGGUGGCGACUGUUUACUUAAAACACAGGGCUGUGCGAAGCCGUAAGGCGACGUAUACAGUCUGACGCCUGCCCGGUGCUGGAAGGUUAAAAGGAGGGGUGCAAGCUCUGAAUUGAAGCCCCAGUAAACGGCGGCCGUAACUAUAACGGUCCUAAGGUAGCGAAAUUCCUUGUCGGGUAAGUUCCGACCUGCACGAAUGGCGUAACGAUCUCCCCGCUGUCUCUAACGUGGACUCAGCGAAAUUGAACUGUGUGUCAAGAUGCACACUACCCGCGGUUAGACGGAAAGACCCCAUGCGCCUUUACUCCAGCUUUGCACUGGUAUCAGGAUUGUGAUGUGCAGGAUAGGUGGUAGGCAUCGAAGCGGGGACGCCAGUUCUCGUGGAGCCUCCCUUGAGAUACCACCCUUCGCCAUCUUGAUAUCUAACCGCGGCCCGUUAUCCGGGUCCGGGACCCUGCAUGGUGGGGAGUUUGACUGGGGCGGUCGCCUCCCAAACAGUAACGGAGGCGCGCGAAGGUAGGCUCAGACCGGUCGGAAAUCGGUCGUUGAGUGCAAUGGCAGAAGCCUGCCUGACUGCAAGUCUGACAAGACGAGCAGAGACGAAAGUCGGUCAUAGUGAUCCGGUGGUCCCAAGUGGGAGGGCCAUCGCUCAACGGAUAAAAGGUACGCUGGGGAUAACAGGCUGAUGAUGCCCAAGAGUCCAUAUCGACGGCAUCGUUUGGCACCUCGAUGUCGGCUCAUCUCAUCCUGGGGCUGGAGCAGGUCCCAAGGGUAUGGCUGUUCGCCAUUUAAAGAGGUACGUGAGCUGGGUUUAGAACGUCGUGAGACAGUUCGGUCCCUAUCUGCCGUGGGUGUAGGAGACUUGAGAAGAGUUGCCCCUAGUACGAGAGGACCGGGGUGAACGAACCACUGGUGGACCAGUUGUCGUGCCAACGGCAGUGCUGGGUAGCUAUGUUCGGACAGGAUAACCGCUGAAGGCAUCUAAGCGGGAAGCCCCCUUCAAAACAAGGUCUCCCUUGAGAGCCGUGGAAGACCACCACGUCGAUAGGCCGGAGGUGUAAGUGCAGUAAUGCAUUCAGCUGACCGGUACUAAUUGCCC
rnacentral:rRNA from 1 species